CGGGGAGCGCCUCCAGGACGUGGGGAUCUGGAACGGCCCUCGCUCUAUCUGUGGUUGAUCUGGUCAGCCGAGCAGCGCCGGCGGCAGGGGCAAGGCUGUGGAGAAGGUCGGGGAGCGCCUCCAGGACGUGGGGAUCUGGAACGGCCCCACCAGCAGCGCUACAGGGGAUGCUUCUGCAUUAGUCGGAAGAGGUGAGAUGCCUGCCUGGUGGUAAGUUCAAGAAAAAGUAACCUUGUUCUCAUUUUUUGGGUAGAAGCUUAUGACAUUCAAAGAUCCAUCUGACUGUGAAGGUUAUUGUGCAUUAUCUGUCAAGUUGAAUGACCUAGGUAUGCCUUCUCAUUUGCAUAUCAGUAGAAAAAUUGAUCAAAACUCACCAUGCUGAAACAAAUGGAAGAGAAUGAGUUCACAAUGUCAAAAGUGAAAAAUUAUGGUAUGAUGGGGACAAGUACAUACUGAAAAAAAAGCUAAAAGUUAGAGUUCAGGGAAUGGAUGUAGGUCUGCUAAGUAAUCAGGUUAACGUCUGUGUGCCUUUCAACGUUGAAUGUGGUAUUGUACUACAAUUUUCUUAAGAAAUAUAUUAGCACCGUUUGCCAAUAAUAAUAUCUGAUAUAUAUCAUGAUUUUUUGAUGUCGUGUCAUUGGUUAUGAGUAAAACAUUAACCAGUUCUAGAAUUUACGCGUGUAAACUGUAAUGAAUGUUUGCCAAGGAACUGAGUCACAAAAGAAAGAUGCUGCUGUUGAGAUCUUGAAAGGUAACUGAUUGGUCCAUCAUACGUGAACAAUAUGUGGAAUUUCCCUGUGUAUUUCAGUGAUCAUGUUUUGCACUAAAGAUUACGACAGAAGAUUUUGAAUUCUAAUUUUCUGUAGUCUAUCAUCGUUUUUAUAGAAAACCAUAUUGCUCUGUGUGGGUAGUGUCAUAAUUAUGAUAGCCUCAGGGGCUAUGAUAGUUUUUAGUUCUUCUCAAAUGUGUGCAGUCAAAUAUGCAAUCCUCAGUGUGGUUAACUCAUCUGUGACUAUUGGUAUGUUAUAUUUGAUUUCUUAUCUAUCAUGUAAAUAUUAUUGCUUUCAACAGCCUGCCACUUGAGUCCUGCGUUUCUCACAUUUAUUGUAUUUUCUAUUUGGUACAAAGUCACAUGGAGUUCUUUUUUAAUUAUGUGAUAUACUGCCCUUGUCUUGUUAUCUAUAUAUACCUCUUUGAUUAUCUGGGUCUUAUAUUUGAGUGCUUUGAUUAUCUGGGUCUUAUAUUUGAGUGGUUUUUCUUCCAUGCAUAUGUGUGCAUACAAAUUCUUGAGAUGAUUAAAUAUAACUUGUCUGUCCUGCGCUCUUCUUUUGUCUUACAGAGAUGAAAGAUGACAUGGUACUAUCCAAGAAAGCAUAGAUUGAUCUUUCCUCUGCUGCUGAGCCUGUGAAACCGUUCCACAAACCUGCAGCCAGAGCUCCCGAGGAUAAGCCUCCUGGAAAUGUUUUAUCUGCAGAGAAGAGUCAAAUUCCGAGGAACAAGCCGGCAUUUUGAAGGUCUGGCCACAUAGCUAUGAAUUUCAUCUGAGAGUUGCACUUAGUCCAAGGGGAGAUCUUAUUCUUACAUCUCGAAUUAAAAUUUCAGCUCAGAUGGCAAGCUAUUCCAAUUUACAUUUGCAUAUCAUACUUACUUUUCAUCUGAUAUCAGGUACAUUGCAAAAUGACAUUUUUUGCCCUAUGUUUCCACUAAGCUAUUUUCAGCAUCUCUUAUGUCCCUUUGUAGAAGAACUGAUAGCUGAUAGGAAAUUUGCUUCAAUACUGAUUAACGUUGAAUUUCGAAUACGAGUGAUGUUGAAUUAACCACCUUCCGAUUCCGGCUCCAUGUUUAUUAUUAUUUUGUGAGGAAAUCCAAGUCCUUUUCUUUUGGAAAACAAAGAGAUUGUACAUGAGGAACUUCUUACCUUACUGUAGCAUCUGCUUAUCAAUAGGUCAUAUCAUUUCUGCAAAUAGAUUGUGCAAAUCACCAGAUAGAUUUACAUGUACCGUUGGCUACUUCCUGUUUUCCAUGCCCUGAAACAUGCUUUCACAUUCCAGUGAAGGUAGAAGGUUUGGAGACCUUGGACUAUCUUGACAACUUGCAAUCCAAGAAUCGUUGUACUGAACAAGGAGAUGCAGUUGUAUUUGAGUCGGAGUAAGAAGCAUUGAAUUGCAUUUUCCUAUUUCUGCUUUAUGUGAGCUGGGAGGCAAAGGCAAUGCUGCUGCAGAAGUGUUUGGUACAAAAAUUUUGCUAUUCAGUCUCAGCUUGUAAAGUGUCAGAAUGCUUUUGAUUAGGGAUCCAGCAUUGGUAACACUUGCGUCAUGCUAUGGUGGCAUUGUCAGUUGUCACUUCUUGGCAACCUAUAUAAUUCAAGACAAUUAACAGCUCAAUCAUGUCACUAAUUGAAGUCCUGCAAGAACUUGAUUGGUUCUGGACCAUCCAGGUUGAACUCCACCAGCCAAAAUCGAAGCUUUGACACUUAUUCCCAUCUCACGAGGAAGACAGGAGAAGGAAUGGGGAAAUAUCUUCAUGGACCAGUAGCAGUUGGAAGAGUUAAAAAGCUUCUUGAGCAGAAUGGCCUCAGCUGCUGGUAGAGAGUGGAUGGAGAUGGAGUAGCGUCGAAGCCCGGCAAGAGGAGGAAGACGAAAAGGGAUGGUUGGUGUUGGAGGCGUAGCGAUGGCAAUCAGAGGAUGGAUGGACAUGGACAAGGGACACGGAUAAUUUUCUAUAAUCAUGUUUAAUAACAUGCAUUUAUGCACUCAUAUAGUUGUGUGUUAUUGUGCUCCUUCUAAUCACAUAUAUUUUUCCUCUAGGUCAAGUGCUUGAAGAUUGUGAGUGCUUAUGGCAUAUCGAAAUGUUUUCAAAUGCAAGAAUUCAUAAUGACUGAAUAUAUAUAUGUAUGGUAUAUCGGAAUGUUUUCAUAUGCUAGAAUUCAUAAUGAUCGAAUAUAUGUACGGUGUAUAUGUCUAACCAUACUUGCAUUGGUGUGCUUUCAUUUAUAAAGUAUCUAUUGCUAGAUUUGUAAA